GAUUAACGCUGGCGGCGUGCCUAACACAUGCAAGUCGAACGAAGUGGCGGACGGGUGAGUAACGCGUGAGUAACCUGCCUUAGAGAAGGGGAUAGCCUUUGGAAACGAAGAAUAAUACCCUAUGCUCUAAGAUGGACUUGCGUCUGAUUAGCUAGUUGGUGAGAUAAUAGCUCACCAAGGCAACGAUCAGUAGCCGGCUUGAGAGAGUGGACGGCCACAUUGGGACUGAGACACGGCCCAGACUCUACGGGAGGCAGCAGUGGGGAAUGUUGCACAAUGGGGGAAACCAGGAUGCAGCGACGCCGCGUGAUUUAGAAGGCCUUCGGGUUGUAAAAAUCUUUUCUAUGGGAAGCAGUACCAUAGGAAUAAGGACCGGCUAAUUACGUGCCAGCAGCCGCGGUAAUUC
rnacentral:rRNA from 1 species